CAGAGAGGUAUACUCUGUCCAGAGAGGAUAGAGAGCUGGGUCCCAGGCCUUCUUUCCCUCCUUUGUCUCUCAGAGUCCAGGACACACAGUGAAAAAGAUCAAGAGCCGGAAGUGCAGAACUCUGAGAGCCUUCAAACAUCACCAGGGGAAACCCAAGAAGGCUCCAGGCCUCACUUCCCUUCUGCAAAGACAGCUGGGGAGGCUCCCAUGUGGCGAUCCCCAUGAUGAUGAGUGAAGGACAGCACCUGCUCCAGCACAGUGGCCACAUGGGGAUGAAGACGAGGACUAUACCACCCUGUCCAUAUCGACUUCCCCAGGGCCCCUGAUUGAACAGGCUCUGCCAGUGGCUCCUA